rnacentral:rRNA from 1 species
UGGGGAAUCUUCCGCAAUGGGCGAAAGCCUGACGGAGCAAUGCCGCGUGGAGGUGGAAGGCCUACGGGUCGUCAACUUCUUUUCUCGGAGAAGAAACAAUGACGGUAUCUGAGGAAUAAGCAUCGGCUAACUCUGUGCCAG